GAAUGAGCUUGUCAGCGGAGUGCUGCAAGCCGCAGCUUGUUCCCGCUGAUCGCUCAUCUCCGAUCUGGCCGUUGAUCUGGCAACUCCGGUUGCUGUGGCCGCGCCCUCUAUUGGCCAGACGCUGUCGUUUUCCAGCACUUAGCUCCGUGCCUCCAGUCAGCUGUUCUUCCGUCGUUAUCCAACACCACUUGCGGUGUGCUUGGCCAAUUUUGCCCAAAAACAAAAAGAAGGCAGCAACCAACAAGUGGCGCCAAGAAUCACAGCGAAGAAGAAUAGGAAAACAGGCACUUACCUGCUGUUCCUUCCCCCCCCUUCGGCCUAGGGCUCGACGGCGUCCCACUGGGAUUUCGGCCAGUACUAUUGGCCAGGUGGCCGCUUCUCUGCUUGCGGACUUGCGUUCCGCGCAGGCUAACUUCCGACGUUUUCCACUGAAUUAUACGGAACGAUUUAAAAACACGACCGCACUCACUAGAAUACACUCGUAUGUGUGUUGCCUUUGGCCAACAGUUAUGAGCCCUGUUUGUGGUGCAAUUAACGAGGGCCGCCAGCCAGUAAAUGAGCUUCCAGCUCCAGCUCCUGUUCGAACCUUGCCCGCUGGCACGUGCCGAUCCAGAAACCUCAGCCAGACAAUCUCAUCAGCGGCUCACCCCUGGACAUCCUGGCGAAACUCAAAUAUAAGCCCUUUAUGGCAAACUUUAUUAAUAUGCAAACGUUGUAGGAGCUGCGAAUACGUUAACUAAAUGUGCAAGAGGACAGCUCUGGGCGCUUUUCCGGGUGCCCCGAUUACAACGAACUUAAUGCUUUUUAAAAAGUUUUUCAAUAGGAAGAGUCACAAAGUUUUUGCUGGUCCUAUGCCAUCGGAACCGUAAAUCUGCGGAAAUCAUCUUAAAUGUAAUGAUUUCUGUGCGUUUUUAAGCUUCUCAAGCUCUCUCUUUGGGAAAUUACCUUCAUUAUCUGUACGAAAAUGAAAUGCACAAAAAGGCUGAAGACUGCCAUCAGGUGGGACUCCUCUCUGCCACCAAAUCCGUCUGUCAUGCGGUUUCCAUUUUCACAAUUUAAUAUCUUUUAAGGUUUCUGGUCACGUGCGUAAGGGUGAAGUGGCUCAGAGCAUUCACAUCUCCUGCAGCUGCUGUGUGUCUGUGACCUUUUUAAUGGGCUGACGGGUCACGCAGCCAUUUACACGAUUCUUUUUUAUUCAUUUUUGCGCCCGGCCUGAUACAGACUGCUAAUUUUUUGGCCGAAUCCCAUAAUACUAUUAAAUCGAAAUCACAUAAAUCGGACCUUAAAACCUGGAUUUUUGGGCAUAAAAAACUAAAUCGGGUGCCUAAACUCCAUGAUGCCUCGAAAUUGGAAAGGAAUCUGUGGUUCGGUGCUAGAGUAUCCAUUUUCCCACUCUUUAAGGUAUAUACUCGCCUUGUAGAUGGACUGGGAACCCAAGAAGUUCACGCACUGACAGUAUGACAGCCUCUUCUCCCACCCAAGUCAGGCUUGAGCAAAACAAUUUGGAAUAUUCGAAAAAUCUUUGAUACCAGCAACUGUGGCGUAUACUUAACGUGAAGACUCCUCCAAAGAGAGUCUACCAAUUACCAUGUGUAAACGCAAUUUAAUUAUUUAUAACGCAAUUGAAGUUUUUCUUUCGGUUGACUUGCAGAUGGGUUGCUAUAGGACUUAUCGGAGAGAUUCGUAAUCGAUCGCCCUUAAAGCAUGUGCCGCCGACCCCACUUAGGAAACUCAUCGAGCCACUCUCGACGGUAUCGACUUCAAAGAGCACCCCAAGCCGGGGACCAGGACCACAGCCAGAAUAAGGACCAGAACCAGAACCAGCACCCCUGCCCAGACCAGACAGUUUUGUUUUAUGGGCCUAGUCUCUGGUUGGCGUCUGUAUUUACUCUUGUACAUUGUGCCACACAUACUGGCAUAACCCGACUGACUCAUGGGUUCUUUUUAAGCACACAAAGUAUAAAAUACAAAAUACUUACCGAAUACAGAGAAUGGAUGGAUGGAGGGAGACUUGUGCUUGACUUUAAUUUGUGUGUAAACACUUUAAAUGGCGAGCCCCGGCAUUCCCGAGCGGGAAUUAACAGAGUACUCGGGGCACUUCAGCCCCAUCCGGCGGCAGUAAGGGAUGCGG